rnacentral:pre_miRNA from 1 species
GGCACAAUCUUGAAGAGGAUAGUUGCGUAUGGUCAGCCGAUCCUACUGAUCUACUCUACUUCGAAUUAGUGCCC